rnacentral:lncRNA from 1 species
ACUGAAGUGCCGAAGUCGGGGACUUAUCGGCUGAAGGCAUUGGACGGGUCAGCAAUUAAAAACACUUGGCACGCCGGCAGACUUAGGAAAUACUUUCAGUAAAUAUAAUGUCAAUACAUCGGAGGUCUGUAAAUAUUCACGUCAUCAUCAAUAAAAGUCCCCUUUUUCCUCAAACGAAUCCAGUCUUCGUUCCUGUUCAGUUCAGUGGUGUAAGGAGGUUCGGGUGGACUUGCUGACCAUUCGAUGGCAGCCUUAAUGGCAGGUGGACCUUAUGGGUUUGUCA